CAGUCGCCACGGUAAUACGAAGGGGGCUAGCGUUGCUCGGAAUGACUGGGCGUAAAGGGCGCGUAGGCGGCGAUCAAAGUCAGGCGUGAAAUUCCUGGGCUCAACCUGGGGGCUGCGUUUGAUACUUGAUUGCUAGAGUGGGGAAGAGGGUCGUGGAAUUCCCAGUGUAGAGGUGAAAUUCGUAGAUAUUGGGAAGAACACCGGUGGCGAAGGCGGCGACCUGGUCCUUGACUGACGCUGAGGCGCGAAAGCGUGGGGAGCAAACAGGAUUAGAUACCCGCGUAGUCCCUGUCUCUUAUAC
rnacentral:rRNA from 1 species